GGCGGCGUGCUUAACACAUGCAAGUCGAGCGAGAAAGCUCCUUCGGGAGUGAGUACAGCGGCGAACGGGUGAGUAACACGUGGGCAACCUGCCCAAGAGAGCGGGACAACUCGGGGAAACCCGAGCUAAUACCGCAUAACGCGUCAUGUCAUAAGGCGUGACGCCAAAUGGUAGCUUCGGCCUCCGCUCUUGGAUGGGCCCGCGGCGCAUUAGCUUGUUGGUGGGGUAACGGCCUACCAAGGCGACGAUGCGUAGCUGGUCUGAGAGGACGAUCAGCCACACUGGGACUGAGACACGGCCCAGACUCCUACGGGAGGCAGCAGUGGGGAAUCUUGCGCAAUGGGCGAAAGCCUGACGCAGCAACGCCGCGUGAGAGAAGACGGCUUUCGGGUUGUAAACCUCUUUCAGGAGGGACGAAGCUUCCGAGGUUAAUAGCCUACGGGGUGACGGUACCUCCAGAAGAAGCCCCGGCUAACUACGUGCCAGCAGCC
rnacentral:rRNA from 1 species